CAUCUUUAGUUCCGGAACGCGUUCCUGUCCAAAAAGGAAGUACCGGAACGACGUUCCGGAGCGUUCCGGCUGGACAACACCACUGCGUACGAAUAUAUUUGUAUAAAUAUCUUCAUCAUUUGGUUAGCAUGAAGUCAGCAUUGACAUAUUUCAGUAAUUAGUUUAGGUAUCGCGAGACCAACACGGUGACAGUUGCAAUAGGUUUUUCAGGCAUCCUGAGACUAAAAUUUGACAACUGCAUUUCUGUAGAUUUGCAUUUGCAGUUGUCAUCUUAGUCAUUGACUUCGGUCAAUUGACAAUUGUUUUAGGGCUACAACCUUAGGUUUCACGACCUAAAACCGUAGUAGUCCUCCCUUGACCAGCAAUAGUCGAGGGAAUCUCAAUCAAAUCAGUACCAAUUUUCCAUCCUUUGUUGCUGACUUUACGCCAGCUUUGCACCCAGAGCUUUUAUUUUGGGUUUCAAAAGCCUAAAAUCAAAGCAGUCACUCCUUUUCAGGCAUCGCGGUACCAAAAUUGGCAAUUGUAUUUGUGUAGGUUUGCAUUUGCAGUUAUCAGUUUAGUCAUUGAUUGUCAAUUUUUUGUGGGCUACAACCUUAGGUUUUACGACCUAAAACCGUAGUUCAUUUUUAAUUUAAUUUGUACAAAAACUCUGUUUCAUUUUAACUCAACAAUGUAAAUGUUGUUUUUAUUUUUUAUUUAUUAAGGAGCCGAAACGUCAAAAAUUGACUAAAAUCCAAUAGGUUGUCUGCUUUACAAAACCCGGUCAUUAAGAAAACCAUGUGAUUUUAUACUCACAGCAAACGCUAAGAAAGAAGCAUAUUACUUCUUUUGUUAAUAGAAUGUCGAACCACCCGCUGUUUUGUUAGAAUUGAACGUUAAAAAACCUGGAUAGCAUUGCCUUGGUUGUGUCAGUGUUCAUUCGGUUCAGAAAGUAGCUGUCCUAACAAAAGUGCCUUUUCUCGAUUGGGAACGGAUGCAGUGUGGCAUUGCUGAAGGAAAGAUUUAUGACGAACGAACUGAUUGUCCAAGUGAGAAGAAAUUACAGCUAAUUCUGAUGGUACUGAAAGAGUCGAUGCUUUUAACGUCUUGCCCUUGCAACAUAAUUUUGAACCUGAGAGGGAGAGGCAUUUGAAAAUUACUUUGGAAACGACUGAAACAACAACUUGUCUGCAGUGGUAUUCCUUCUGGAUUUGGCUUGUUCAUUCUACCUGUGGACCUUAGGAAGCUACUUUCUGCAGUUAAUUAAGAUUGCCCAACAAAUGAGUUCAAUUUGGCGCUACUCGAACAACUGUCUACAUGGGUGUGGUCUUUUCUGGACUUUGUUCCUGAUUUGAUAUUUUCAUCUUCACUUCUCCACACUAUGCAGUUGAUUUUCAACUAAGGAUCUAUUUGAUUUCAAAUGGAACAACGAAAUUUCUGCUAUGGUGCUUCUCCUGGAUUUAGUUUGCUCUUCACACCUGCAAACUGUUGCAGUCUGCAGUUAAUUAAGAUCGACGUUGGAGAAGACAAAGACAAAGAUGACCCCAUAGUUGAAAUAAUAGUUCUUUUAUCUUGCAUG
rnacentral:lncRNA from 1 species